UACGUAGGGGGCAAGCGUUGUCCGGAAUCAUUGGGCGUAAAGAGCGCGUAGGCGGCCCUGUAAGUCCGCUGUGAAAGUCAAGGGCUCAACCCUUGAAUGCCGGUGGAUACUGCAGGGCUAGAGUCCGGAAGAGGCGAGUGGAAUUCCUGGUGUAGCGGUGAAAUGCCGCAGAUAUCAAGGAGGGAACGCCUAUUGCGAAGGCAGCUCGCUGGGAC
rnacentral:rRNA from 1 species